rnacentral:lncRNA from 1 species
GCUUUAGAACUUGUUUUCUCAUAUUAAAAUAGUUAGACCUAAGGAAUCCAUGACUUUGAGACUGAAGGAAAUGCCUGCUAGACAAGCCACUCACAACUGUUUCCAAUAUGUGAAAACCCAACAAAGACAAGUGCACCAAAAUACAGUUUCCGCAACAUUCAUAUCUUUAGAUCUUCAGGUGUAUAUGUAGUUUAUCUUCUAAUUUGACACAUAUCUGAUAGUCUCUUCGCCAUAUAUUAUUUUCCAACAUGACCUACUUAAUAGUGCUUUAAAUGCAGUUAUACCAAAAAAAAAAAUUAGAGCAGUGGUCAUUUCUUCAAAACAAUCAGCUGGCCAAUCUUUCAGACAUGGCAAGUACAGCUCAGCCAAAAAUCAGGACUCAAUCAGAAAUGUUCAAAUAAAAAUGAAGGGAAUAAUGAGCUAAUACCUGAAACCCAGUAAAAGUCCGGCUCUGCAUUCCAGAUGCAAGAAGAACCAAUCUACUUUCAUGCGUGUAGAUAUACCAACUAACAUUCAAUUUCCUUGUUUCAACCAAGCGGAGCGAUUUUGAGGCAGAAUCAUAAGCAAACAAGUCUACUCCACUGUGAUAAAACUCCUUUCAGUAAAAUGAACAAUUUCAAAACCUUUGAUGUUACCUAAAUUUCC